CCUCUUUCCUUUAUAAAUUACCCAGUCUUGGGCAGUUCUUUAUAGAGUGUGAAAAUGGACUAAUACAGUGGCUAUUCCAGAACUUCAAUCUUUAGAUUAAAAGGCAUAGCAGAGUGUCAAGUGUAAUGAAUGAAAAAGAUCCACAUCAAGGCAUAGCACUGUGAAGUUUCAGAACCCCCAGAGUAAAUAGAAGAUCCUGCAAAUGUCCAGAAAAAAAAUCACUUAGGAACGGAUUUACAUUUGUGUUAGACUUCUCAUUAGCAAAUCUGGAUGACAAAAGAUGGUGGAUCAAUGCCUUCAGAGUUCUGAGGACAGAUUCCUACCUAUUGAAUUUCCAGCUCUCCAAACUCAUGCAGUAAAUAGAUGAUAAAUUUUUUGAGAUAUCCCUUGUCAAAUAAAUAUUUCCUAGUUCUCUGAACCUCAGAAACCAAAUUGAUAUAGCUAACAAAGUAUCCAUUUGUAACCAAACUCUCAUUGACCAAACCCAGGAAACAGUAAUUCUAUGACCAAUCAGGCUGUCUUCACACAUGAAGUUAAAAACAUUGCAGGCACAAAAUCUCAAACUUUACUCUCCAUGCCAUUUUUUUCAAAGGCUGCUGAAGGAUAUACUCCACAGAAAUUAAGGAAGUAAAUCAAGGAAGAGCAGAGAUAGCAAAAAUCAGGGAACCAACCCAGCAUUGUGGCAAGAUAACAGCUUUGCAGCGCUAGAGUAUUCAGUCCAGAUGGGAGCAGGACAGAGGAUGUCAGGAGGGAGCUGUCCAGGGAGAAAAAUCAACUUAAAGGUUACCCAGUGCAUUUGACCAUGUGGAGAACAGUGUAAAUAGUAUAAGUGGAUUUAACUCACCAAUUAAAAGAGACCCUCAGAAAGAUAGGUUGGUACAAAAGUAAUUGCACCAACCCAUAGACUACUAACCCAUAGAAUAUUAACCCAUAGAAUACCCAUAGAAUGAGAGAAAAUGUUGGCAAAUCAUAGAUAAGGAACUAUGGAGAAAUCUUAAAACUCAAUAUUGAAAAGACAACCCAAUUUUAAAAUUGAUCAAAGGAUCUGAAUAGACAUUUCUCCAAAGAAGGUAUACAAAUGGCCAGUAUGCGCAUGCAAAGAUACUCAAUAUCAUUGGCAGAGAAAUGCAAAGAUACUCAAUAUCAUUAGCAGAGAAAUGCAAACCGAAACACUUUACACCCGUUAGGUGGCUAUAAUAGUAAUAAAAAUUGUGUCUUCUAAAGAUGUGGAGAAGUUAGAACGUUUAUACACUGCUGGUGGGAAUGUACAAUGGUGGAGCUGAAAAUAGUCUAGAAGUUCCUCGAGCAAUUGUACGAUUGCCAUUUGACCUGGCAAUUCCAUUCCUGGGUAUAUGCCCAGAAGAAUUGAAAACAUAUGUCCACACAAUAACUUGGACAUGAGUGUUCAUAGUAACAUUCAUACUAGCCAAAAGGUGGAAACAAUCCAAGUGUUCAUCAGUAGAUGAAUGGAUAAACAAUGUGGGCAGUGCGCACGGCUUUCGGGCAGGGAGGCGCGCUCUGGCGAGGUAGGAGCAAUGUGGGCUGGGAACGCCUGGCGCGCGGCGCUCUCCGGAGUGCCCUGCUGGGCGGCGCGCAGUCAGCGCUGGCCCAGCUGCGCGGCAUUCUGGAGGGGGAGCUGGAAGGGAUCCGCGGAGCUGGCACCUGGAAGAGUGAGCGGGUCAUCACGUCCCGUCAGGGGCCGCACAUCCGCGUGGACGGCGUCUCCGGAGGAAUCCUCAACUUCUGUGCUAACAACUACUUGGGCCAGAGCAGCCACCCCGAGGUGAUUCAGGCAGGUCUGAAGGCUCUUUGGAGCUGGCCUUAGCUCUGUCUGCUUCGUCCGUGGAACCCAAAGCAUCCACAAGAAUGUAGAAGCAAAAAUAACCCUUUUCCACCAGCGGGAGGAUGCUAUCCUCUAUUCCAGUUGUUGUGACGCCAAUGCCGGCCUCUGAGGCCCUCCUGACCUCUAAGGACGCAGUGCUGUCGGACGAGCUGAACUAUGCCGCCAUCAUCCACGGCAUCUGCCUGUGCAAGGCCCACAAGUAACCGCUAUCGCCACCUGGACGUGGCCGACCUAGAAGCUGCAGGAGGCCCAGAAGCAUCGGCUGCGCCUGGUGGCCACCGAUGGGGCCUUUUUCAUGGAUGGCGACAGCAUACCUCCACAGGAGAUCUGCCGCCUCGCCUCUAGACAUGGCGCCCUGGUCUUUGUGGAUGAAUGCCGUGCCACUGGCUUCCUGGGACCCACAAGAGGGGGCACAGAUGAGCUGUUAGACGUGAUGGGCCAGGUCACCAUCAUCAACUCCUCCCUGGGGAAGGCCCUGGGUGGAGCAACAGGGGGCUACACGACAGGGCAUGGGGCCCUGGUGUCCCUGCUGCCGCCCGGCCCUACCUCUUCUCUAACAGUCUGCCACCUGCUGUUGUUGGCUGCCUUUCCAAGGCCCUAAAUCUGCUCCUGGAGAGCAACACCAUCAUCCACUCUAUAGCUGCCAAGACCCAGUGGUUCUGUAGUAAGAUGGAAGCUGCUGGAUUCACUGUCUCGGGAGACAGUCACCCUAUCCGCCCUGUGAUGCUGGGUGAUGCCCAGCUGACCUCUCGCAUGGCGGAUGACAUGCUGAAGAGAGACAUCUUUGUCAUUGGGUUCAGCUACCCCGUGGUCUCCAAGGGCAAGGCCCGGAUCUGGGUACAGAUCUCAGCAGUGCACAAUAAGGAAGACAUUGACUGCCGCGCGGAGGCCUUCGUGGAAGUGGGGCAGCUGCAUGGGGCACUGCCCUGAGCUCUGAGUAGGGACGAGCAGAGCCAAGGUCCACCUACUGCCACAGGAUCAAAGGAGGUUUUCGAUCAGCCCAGACCAGAGGCUCUGAGCCCUGAACCAAAGUCCCAGAGCUGGGCUGGGAUGUGGCAUGUGCUGAGGGCUGUGAGAAUGUGAAACAACAGUAUGAAAAUUGGCUGUGAAAAAAA